rnacentral:rRNA from 1 species
UGCCCUAGUAACGGCGAGUGAAGCGGCAACAGCUCAGAUUUGAAAUCUAACUCUUUGAGUUCGAGUUGUAAUCUGUAGAGGAUGCUUUUGAUGCGAUGCCUUCUGAGUUCCCUGGAACGGGACGCCAUAGAGGGUGAGAGCCCCGUACGGUUGGACAUCAAAUCUUUGUAAAGCACCUUCGACGAGUCGAGUAGUUUGGGAAUGCUGCUCAAAGCGGGAGGUAAAUUUCUUCUAAAGCUAAAUAUUGGCCAGAGACCGAUAGCGCACAAGUAGAGUGAUCGAAAGAUGAAAAGCACUUUGAAAAGAGGGUUAAAAAGCACGUGAAAUUGUUGAAAGGGAAGCGUUUAUGACCAGACUUGUUUUUAGCUGAUCAUCUGGUGUUCUCACCAGUGCACUCGGUUAUAUUACAGGCCAGCAUCGGUUUUUUUAGAGGCAUAAAGGUUUUAGGAACGUAGCUCUUUCGGGAGUGUUAUAGCCUAUUACACAAUACCUCUGAGGGGACCGAGGCCCGCGCAUUGCAAGGAUGCUGGCGUAAUGGUCAUCAGCGACCCGUCUUGAAACACGGACCAAGGAGUCAAGCAUUAGGGCGAGUGUUUGGGUGAAAAACCCGCACGCGAAAUGAAAGUGAACGCUGGUGAGAGCUUCGGCGCAUCAUCGACCGAUCCUGAAGUUUUCGGAUGGAUUUGAGUAAGAGCCUUAACGCUUGGACCCGAAAGAUGGUGAACUAUGCUUGUAUAGGGUGAAGCCAGAGGAAACUCUGGUGGAGGCUCGCAGCGGUUCUGACGUGCAAAUCGAUCGUCAAAUAUGAGCAUGGGG